UACGGGGGGUGCGAGCGUUGUCCGGAAUCACUGGGCGUAAAGGGCGCGUAGGUGGUUUGAUACGGGUGUGGUGAAAGCCCGGGGCUCAACCCCGGGUCUGCCGUGCCGACUGUCAAACUCGAGGGCUGUAGAGGCAGACGGAAUUCCGGGUGUAGCGGUGGAAUGCGUAGAGAUCCGGAGGAAGACCGGUGGCGAAGGCGGUCUGCUGGGCAGUUUCUGACACUGAUGCGCGACAGCGUGGGGAGCAAACAGG
rnacentral:rRNA from 1 species